rnacentral:lncRNA from 1 species
GGAUUUUCCUCUCCUUUGAGAAGAGGACAGAACUGCCUUUCUGCCGAAUAAAUCCAUUUUUCUCCAUUUCUCCUCUACAGAGUGAAACUCAGCACUUGCCUGGAAAAGUUCUAUGGGAGCUCAUUUUGUUGCCUGUUUUCUAGCUAUGGGGAACCAGCACUGCCACCAUUACAAUGGAUCUGGUUGUGAGCAUCAAUUCAGAACUUUUUUCCUCACCCAGGUUUGGAAUCACUGUCAUCAUUUGAUGGAGGGGAAAUUUCUCACUGUAAUAAAUCAGUACAUUUUCAUGGUAUCACAUGGUUGCAAAUCUGAGGUGACAUCAGGGUUUCUUUAUAAACCUUUGAGAACAUUCCUGAAGAAACAAGAAACAGAUUUGACUCACCACUAGCUUUUCUAACUUCAAAUCAACCGAUUCCACCUUUGCUACUUAGCAUACUUUUACUUAUUUCUAAGAGAUCAUCUGUUGUUCAUUUCAAGAACUGUUCAAAAUCCUUUCUAAUCAAGUCAGGCCUUCAAUCCCAUAUCCAACAGCAGUAGUUUUAGAUGGUAACCCUACUUCCUAAAUAAACUAAAUUAAAUUAAUAAAAUGAAAUAAAAG